CCUCCCCUUCCUCCCACCCCACCCACGCCGACGAGCGAACCCAAUCGCGAGAGCGAGCGAGAGGCCGUGUCACUCACCAUGGCGCUGCGAGCCCUGUACAACGAGAUCCGGGGGAUGAAGGUCCGCGAGGUGCCGGGGUACCUGAAGCCGCGGCUCACCUUGGAGAACGUCAAGAAGAGCACCAACCAGGCCGUCGACCGCUACAUCGAGAAGUACAUCGAGACCGGGUCGCCGGAACCGCUCUUCCACGUCUGCUUCGGCGGGAUGGCCUUCUCCUACCUCGUCAACCUACCCUGGGAGCGCGCCCACCUCGCCCACCUCGAGGAGCUCGAGAAGCACGGCGGGAAGCACUAGAUCCGUCGUCGGCCGCGCCCGAGACCGCAGGAGUGAAGCUUCCAUGGUAGAGGAGGCUUCGUCUGCGCAGCCGAGCCCCGUGGCCUCCCACCCGAUCCGCUGCAUCUUCAAGCUAGGUAGAGGGGUGAUCACGAACAAGGGCGAGCUGGAGAGCAUCAACGAGGGGAGCCUGCAGUCGGCGUGCGCGCAGCUGCGACAGGGCAUGUCCGAUGCCGAUGGCGUUGGCCCCGAGAAGGUUCUGGGUAUGGAUUGGAGCAGGAGGCACGGCGAUCCGACUCGGUCGGCCACAGUGGCGCAACGAAAGUAUGUUCUGCGCUUAGGCACAGAAUAGACUUGAAUAGACGUGUUGUAUAUAUGUAUAUGUGUAUGUAUGUAUAUAUGUACAUAUGUAUACCUGCAGAAUAUAUAUACAGUGUAUAUAUUAAUCCCUGAGUCCUGUUAUUUAGAAUUUGCCGGCUGAUGAAUUAUGAAUUUUCCAUAACUUCGGGCC